rnacentral:rRNA from 1 species
UACAUAGGGGGCAAGCGUUGUCCGGAUUUAUUGGGCGUAAAGCGCGUGUAGGCGGCUGGGUAGGUCCGCUGUGAAAACUCGAGGCUCAACCUCGAGAGGUCGGUGGAAACCAUCCAGCUAGAGUCCGGAAGAGGAGAAUGGAAUUCCUGGUGUAGCGGUGAAAUGCGCCAGAUAUCAGGAAGAACACCCGUGGCGAAGGCGGUUCUCUGGGACGGUACUGACGCUGAGACGCGAAAGCGUGGGGGAGCGAACAGG